GGAAGCGGGAGACGCAGGGAUCCGGCGUGGCAGCGCGAAGUCCUUGCAGGUGGAGGCGGGCCUCCAUGGCUGGCAGGGAGAUCUCCAAGGCCAUGGCGGGUGUUGAGCAACGUAGGAGAGGUGCCCUCCGUGGGGAUGGGGGAAGAUUGUCUACAGCAAGAGCGGGCAAUGGAGGUGGAAGUAUGGAGAAGGAUGGGACGAUGUUCUUGCACUACUGCGACGGAGGGAAGGCGAAUUGAGUGUUUCAGAUACCAAAAGGAUUGUACAGUCAGACUGAAUAACAUUACGACUGAAUUACCUUGCAUCAGGUAAUCUUGUGUUAUAUUGGCAUCAGUGUCUUGGGCAGCCGAGCUCUUCCUAGGAGUAGUCACUUCAUGUCCAUCUAGGGCAUCCAAUCAUCCAUCUUGCUGGUCCAGAAUUUGUAUAAGACUGAACUAUGUAAGGUUCCAUUGUCUUGCAAUCGAGCCGAGGAGAGCCUCCCUUGUUUUCUAAAAGAAAAAGAAUUAAGUAUCAUUUCCUCGUCUCAGGUAAGCAAGAGAAUACCGGCGCACAUAUUCUAAGACUAUCUCCAAUAUUGUUCGAUUUGGAGCUCUUAGGUGCAAAAUUCACCAAAAUGAAUCACAAUGCAAAUGGUCCAGUCCCUUUUUAUUUUCAUGGAGCUGUUGUACAUUGAUUUUUGCCUCAACUGCUCCAUAACAAUCGUAUCGCUUGCUGGUGUAGCCAUCUAUCUCAGAGGAGCAGUUGGCAAACCAAAUCCAAGGUGCAAUCUUUUUCCGGUAACUAAUAUAGUGGCAUAUACCAUAUAGUAUUGUCUUAAAAAACAUGCAUAAUUGGUCAUACCUAUCAUACCAAUCUUAGAACAUGUUUUGAAUUCAGGUAAACUUAGGAACAUGUAUCUUGGUAGUUCGAACUUGAACUCUAUUUGGUCCUAAUAAGGCGUUAUGGUUACAUAGCUGGUUGACAUAUGCACAAUCAUUUUUUAAAGAAACAGAAAUAAAUAGAUUCAACAUUGAAUUAGUAGAACAUGAUGGUGUGUCCUGUUCCAUCCGUCACUGGCUCGUUAACAUUGAAGGUGCCGUCUGCUGUGGUCAUCAGAGGCGUAGCUGCCCGUACUCAUCACAAGUUGUUGGCACUGGAUUUAUUAUGUAAACUCAAUGAUUUUGCUUGCUAGAUUUUCUUCAAUUUUUGACCCACAUGAGGAGUAUUGCGAGGGCCUGGACAAACUUGAUUAAAUUAGUUUCUAUUUUGGUAUAGGUGGGACCAUCACUUUGGGAUGUUUUUCCAAUCUGUCAUGUGCAAUUGUGCAUGAUGAUCCUAAUUGUAUAUGUUGGACAUAUUAGUGUUGAGUAUAUGUUGAACGCAUGAUUGUUAAACCACUAUAAUAUGUAUACCCCGUUGCAACGCACGGGCUCGAGGAGAAGAGGUAGGGAGAAGAAGGACGUGGGAAGAAGGAAGGGUGCAGCAGGGGCGCAGCGGUGCGAGAGCGCUGGUCUUGUGCGCAUGGAGCACCUCUCCUUGGGCGGUUGCGCUGGUUGGUUCGACACACAAACGCCCACCUUGCCCACGUCCGACAACUCAUCGCCGGCGCGGAAGACAUGGACUCCUACCACAGGGAGCUCGCAUGCCCUGCAGCUGCUGGAACUGGCUGAAGGUCAUCCCGCAUCUUCGAUUUCAUCCUUUCCUGCGCCCUCCUCCAUCCACGACCUCUGGUACACUACUUCUCCUCCCUCCCCUCUCCUUCCAAUUCCACCACGUAAUUUCUCCGUUCGCAGUCUCGGCAAUCCUGAAUUUGGCUUGCUUCCCCUUCCUAGCAAGUACUCCCUCGGUUCUUAAAUAUAAGUCUUUUUAGAGAUUCUAAUUUGAACUAUAAAAUGAGUGAAUCUACACUCUAAAAUAUGUCUAAAUACAUCCGUAUGUAGCCCCUAUUGAAAUCUCUAAAAGUCUUAUAUUUAGAAACGAAGGGAGUACCAACUAGGCCUUAUGCUACUCCCAGCUCGAGCUCCACAAGCACGUUACUCCAGGUCUACUCCUUGAGGUAUGGGACUUACACUACCUCUCUGCACCAGUCGAUGGCCCUGGACCAGCUGUCCCAAUGGCCUUGUCACCUCCCUCGAUCCCUCAUGUUUCCUUCCACGAUGUAACAGAUAUAGCAAUUUUUUGAUUUGUUGAGAGAUAAAUGUGCCGCAAUGUAAAUAGGCUAUGCUAGGAGUUCAGUUGCCCAGGGAACGAGAAUCUGUCCAUGAUACUCUGACUGAACCUAUUUUCAGCAUCACCACUAAUGUUUUCAGAUGUCACCUUCUGAAGUUGCUUCAUUGUUGACGAGUUAAUGUCUUAUGCAACCCCGCCAUCUACAAUUUGCCAGUCAGAAGGUGACCUGAAGCUUAAAAUAGAGAAAAUGACCAUGAGCUCUGUCAAGUAAGAGAUUUUCUAUAUCGAGAUGCCUUAGGCUCAUAGUCCCCUUUCUGUUGUCUACGUCCUUGCUCAUUGGUUAAUUCGGACCAACAGUUUGUCCAGCAUGAUCAAUCUAUGUUACUUUUCUGAGUUUAGAUUGUUGCCCCUUAGAAAGUUUUGACUCAAUGCAUCAGAAUGGUUUCUUUGUUGUUUUAUGUGGAUAUGGAUUCUGGUCAUAUUUUUACGCAUUAAGGAUUUUGAGUGCGAGCUAUGUAGUCACUGAAACCUAAUGUGUACAGUGUGUACAUGUAGCUAAUGUAUUUGAUUCUGAAAUAAAACAUGCUUUUCUUUGGAUUGUGUUCUUCAGAUUGCAUACAUGCAUAUACCAUGUUUCUGUUUUGGUACCAGUAAAAAAGUGUUUAUUUGGAGAACGAUCGAGCAGUAAUUCCCAUCUGGAGGCAAAGAGCAUCCUCCUUGCGCCGAUGCGCUGGAUGACUACAUCAUACCACUUCUCUUAACCUGCGACUGGCUCUCUGCUAUGGGCAUAAGGGUCUGAUUACACAACAUCAAGGUUUGACCAAUGUACCCAUUUGAUAUGAAAUUAGAUUAUAUAAGGGUUAUCAAAAUGUCAGAGAUUCGAGCCCAACGAUAAGAAGCAUUUGGAGCUGCAAAUGUGACACUUAUUUCUUGAAAUACGUACAUCUUGUAUUAUGACUGGUUGUUCUUUUUGCAGGGCUUAGGACUAAUUCUAAUGAUGUUAAGCUUGAUAUAUAGGUAUGGCAACAGAGGUUGCUGGAUGUUAACUGGUAAUCACAAUG